rnacentral:lncRNA from 1 species
GUUGAUGACCCUGCAAACCAGAUCUCUAGCUCUCAAGCAUUUGCAACAAGGUGACGCCAUCUGCACCCAAUAGAAACUGCUGAGUCCCUGGUCUCAGGCCAUCGCGCCAGAGAGAGCCAGCCCUCCCCUAUGGAUGAGCAGUUUGCAAGCAGUACUAUAAUCAGCCAUGGAGCUCAGCUGAUGAGAGGCUAGAGGGUUGGGCCUCAGUACAGCACCAGAGUGUAGACACCCACCAACCACACAGCUUCUUUUAGCUGUGGAUGGGAGGCAGUGAGUUAGGGUUUGCUAGGUGGACAAAUUCCCAGUAGCAACAGAUGGACCCUGCCUUGACAAUGGAAUUCUAAAAGGCUUUGCCUUUUCCCAUAUUGUGUUUAACUCUGGCUCCAAGAGACUCUUCUCGUGGCUAUUUUCUGUAAACACACUCUCUGGACAUCAGAUUACUCACUUGUCCAGAUGGAGGGUCGAGGGUGAACAUAUAAGAAUACUAUUAGCCUGUUUUGCCUGAUAACAACAAAGACUGCUUCCCUAGAAGAGUGCUGUUGGAGGUCAGCCUGUCAGGAUGGAAGAGAAAAACACAUCCAAUCUCCUGUAUCAUCAGUAUCCAUCAAUAUGAAACAACCACCCAUGGGAUAAGCACACGGGAAAUUUAACUUGCAAUGCCAAGCAAGAGGCCAACAUUACCUUUAAUCACCUAUUCAGCUCUUCAUCCACUACUUCCACCUUUAAGACAUGUGACAGAGGUCAAAGGUGAAAGGUACUGUCUCUCUUAAAUUUCCUCUGACCCUCAAAACCUGUUUCUGAGUCUCAAAUAGAAAAUUUCUGGUUAUAAAGCAGAAAAUUUCAAAUGGAAUGAGGUUCUAAUUUCCAGACUAGCCUUCUUGAGAUGGGAACAUGUGGUGUGCUCUUCUGACAUUGUUUUCUGACCCAUUUUCCUUCAACUACAGAAACAAGCCAGAGACAAGACAAGCCCAGCCUUCCUGCUCUGUGUUUGGCCAGGGAACUGGUCAUGCUGCUCCUGGUUGGAUGGAGUUUGACAGAUAUUCGAACCAAUUCACUCAACACUCGCUCCUCGGCCCAUACCUCCGCAUCUAGAUGAUAUUCACUGAAGCCCCAUGCCACCAGCACUCUGGACGGCACCAGCAAGAUCUCAGGAUUUACCUGGAAAGUCAGCCAAUCUCACUUGGAACCCACAGUGUGUCCCCCUUUAAUCCUGCGAUAGCAUCUUACCUAACUACAGCCAACCUGACUUCUCCAUUCCUCCUGCUUAGAAGGGGGCUGUGACUGUCUUACGUCCUAUACUAGAGCUGGUACAUGGUGUCUGCUUUUUAGGUUUUAUGUUUGUGCUUUCAUGAUGACUAGGCAUUGUUUCUCUCACCUAGCUCAGUGUCCUGAUUUUUAAUCGAUUUUUAUGUUUUUGCUUGUCUUGUCUUUUGGUCUCCUCACUGCUUUGUCUCUGUUUCUUAGUCUAUCUCUCUAUAUCCAUCUCUUUGUCUUUCUCUCGUGUAAACAAAUGCACAUGCUCACACAUGUUGGUCCAACCCUUCAGCGUCCUGAUCUUGUGUCUAUGUUUUCCAUGUAAAAUUUCUGACUUAACAUCUGCCGAGCCACCAUUCUCAAUAUGACAUUCUUCAGUUCUUCCCACAUUUCAACUGAAGGCUCGGGGUUAUCUUGAUUGUUGUGUUAUCUGCACACAGUCACCACAAAGAAAUUACUCACUUCUGGAAAGAGAUGCCAAAACCCUAAUUCAAAACCAUCAAAUGAGUAAUUCCCAAAGCAUCAUUUCUCCUCCAAACCCAGAACAUUUUAAUUACCUUGAAGUAAACAAAGAGCCUUGCAAGGCUAACUCAGAUUAUUUAUUCAGAAUCCUCCCUCUCCUAUAUGCUACAAAUUUCCUCCUGCCUCCAGUUCUUCACAAUCCCAGCCUUUGUUCACCCUACCCCUCCAUGUGGUAAAGAACCUGUUAGCUAGGGGAGGUAAACUGUGUACUCGUUACUAUACCUAAAUUGCCACGAGGGCCAAUGUGAGCACAGAAAUGAGCAAUGACCCAUCUCUUGCUUUAAUUGUGCUUUGGCUGGCCCCCAAAUGGUCAGGU